GACGAAGGUGGCGAGCGUUGUUCGGAAUCACUGGGCAUAAAGCGCACGUAGGCGGCGACGUAAGUUUGGGUGUGAAAUCCCUCGGCCCAACCGAGGAACUGCGCCCAGUACUGCGUUUGCUUGAGGAUCCAAGGGGUGCAUGGAAUUCCCGGUGAAGCGGUGAAAUGCGUUGAUAUCGGGAGGAACUCCGGCGGCGAAAGCGGUGCACUGGUGGAUUUCU
rnacentral:rRNA from 1 species